GUCCUCCCUUUGGCAGCACAUAUACUAAAAUUGGAAUGUUAGAGAGAUUAGCAUGGCUCCUGCACAAGGAUGACAUGCAAAUUCAUGAAGCGUUCCUCCAUAUU
rnacentral:snRNA from 1 species